UUGGAAUUCAGCAACCGGGGUGAAGAGGGUCAGAGCAUCAGGGCAGGGGGUGGUGAGCAGCGACCCACGUGUGUGCGUGGCAGGGUUAGAAAUCACUUCUCCGCUGGGCACGCAGGAGAGGAGAGGAAACAGGAGAGAGGGAAAAGAAUCCAAUGCAGCCGCGUCUAACGAAGAGCCCGAGCGCUGCUGCUGCUGCUGCCUCCAAGAGACGGAGAGAGCCGGGGAGGUAAAAUCGCAGUGAUUCAUCGUGGGCAGAUCGGAGGCAGGAAAUGGGAGUUCGCUGCCUGCCCCGUGCCCGCCGCGGGCUCCGGCUCGCCGGGGCCUGGCUGCCGGCGAGGGCCUGAUGCCAACGGGUCGAGCAUCCCUGCGCCACGGACGGAGCCACCGGGAAGAAGGGAAGGAACCGGCGGAGGCCGAGAGCUGGAGCCAAGGGGGUUUUCUGCCUGCGUUUCUCCGGAGCCAUCCGACAGAGCCCGGACCGUGACUGGGGGCCAGAUCCGAGCUCCUGCACCACCCUGGCUGGUUGCGAAUAACCUGGAUGCAGCACCGGAGCUGCUUAACCCCAUCCUGAUCCAACCUUUGCCCCCCAAACCCCACUGCCAUGAAGAAGAAGGCUGCCAAUGGGAGGGGGGCAGAUCCUGCAGCCCCCCAGCAGCGAGCCCGGGGCGUCACCAAGUCAGCAGAGUACGUGGGCUCCUUCGUGGUGGAGGACCUGGACCUGGAGCAGCAAGCAGGGCAGCUGGAGGAGCAGCUGCGGGC